GUCACUCAGUGUUGCUUCCUAAGUGGACAUUUUGAUUUCACAGAAGUGUGAUUGACUUGGAGUUACAUUGUGUUGUUUAAGGAUUCCUUAUAUUUUUUUGAGAGCGAUCACAUGCCCCUGGGGGCCUCAUUCACCGUAGGAGGGCUGCCUGGGCGGUCUGGCAGCCCUCCAGAAGAGGAUCGCGGCGGAGGUAAGUACCGCCGGUCCUCUGGGGCUCAAAGCCGUUACGGCGUUCUAUGCCGCCGCAACGGCUUUAAAGCCGCGACGGCAUAGAACACCAUAACGGC